GAAGAAGCAUGGAGCAUCGAGGAAGUGGCAUUCAAUGUUCCGGGCUUAUCACUAGAUUGUUUUAUUCCACCAGCUGAACUAAGAUUUGGUUCUGUCAGUGAGUCUUGUGAAUUCCCUCAGGGUGAGAGAGUAAAGACUGCUGUGGCCGCAGCAGCGGCUGCUGCUUAUCGAGCCAAAGUUGCAGCACUGGAGAAGUCGCAUGAAAGCAAUGUCAAUAAGAUAAUCUGGAAGAUGGAUGUUUAAGGAAGGGAUAGGAUUUCUGGCAAAUUGUUCAUACAGAUAAGCUAGGUAGUUGGUAUUUAUGGACUGAGAAUUUAGAGGGUAAAUUGGUAAGGUAGGGACCUUCUUGUUUGACAAAUUUUGGGUUGGAUUCAUGCCUCUCUGAAUCUGUAAAUAGAGCCCGAUAAUAUUCGAGCUCAGAAGGAGACUUGAGUAUGACCUCCCACAGACUACACCAACUAAUCUAGCUGUGCAUCAUUGAGCCAAUGAAGGUUCUUGUUUUUCUUUCCUUUCUUUUCCUGUCCUACCUUCCUUGUAUGGAUGUGUUUAAACCAUGACAUCAGUCGCUUAUCCUUUAUAAUGAUUUUAUGAAUCUUUUCUUCAAAAG